rnacentral:ncRNA from 1 species
UACGAUAAAGGCAAACCCUGGGCAAUCAGGGGACGCAAAGUAAAUAGGGUCUUUUAUAGGGGGUAUGCAAUUCGCCCCUGCCUCUGGUAAAAAGACAGCCUUACUGCCGAAG